UGUUACAGACUCCAUGUGGGCCCUGGUCCAAGGUAGUGCACUAUAUAGGGAGUAGGGUAAUGUUACAGACUCCAUGUGGGCCCUGGUCCAAGGUAGUGCACUAUAUAGGGAGUAGGGUAAUGUUACAGACUCCAUGUGGGCCCUGGUCCAAGGUAGUGCACUAUAUAGGGAGUAGGUUCAUGUUACAGACUCCAUGUGGGCCCUGGUCCAAGGUAGUGCACUAUAUAGGGAGUAGGGUAAUGUUACAGACUCCAUGUGGGCCCUGGUCCAAGGUAGUGCACUAUAUAGGGAGUAGGUUCAUGUUACAGACUCCAUGUGGGCCCUGGUCCAAGGUAGUGCACUAUAUAGGGAGUAGGGUAAUGUUACAGACUCCAUGUGGGCCCUGGUCCAAGGUAGUGCACUAUAUAGGGAGUAGGUUAAUGUUACAGACUCCAUGUGGGCCCUGGUCCAAGGUAGUGCACUAUAUAGGGAGUAGGUUCAUGUUACAGACUCCAUGUGGGCCCUGGUCCAAGGUAGUGCACUAUAUAGGGAGUAGGUUAAUGUUACAGACUCCAUGUGGGCCCUGGUCCAAGGUAGUGCACUAUAUAGGGAGUAGGGUAAUGUUACAGACUCCAUGUGGGCCCUGGUCCAAGGUAGUGCACUAUAUAGGGAGUAGGGUAAUGUUACAGACUCCAUGUGGGCCCUGGUCCAAGGUAGUGCACUAUAUAGGGAGUAGGGUAAUGUUACAGACUCCAUGUGGGCCCUGGUCCAAGGUAGUGCACUAUAUAGGGAGUAGGGUAAUGUUACAGACUCCAUAUGGGCCCUGGUCCAAGGUA